UACGAAGGGGGGCUAGCGUUGCUCGGAUUGACUGGGCGUAAAGGGCGCGUAGGCGGUUCGUACAGUCAGACGUGAAAUUCCUGGGCUCAACCCUGGGGGGCUGCGUUUGAUACGUGCGGACUUGAGUGCGGAAGAGGGUCGUGGAAUUCCCAGUGUAGAGGUGAAAUUCGUAGAUAUUGGGAAGAACACCGGUGGCGAAGGCGGCGACCUGGUCCGAUACUGACGCUGAGGCGCGAAAGCGUGGGGGAGCAAACAGG
rnacentral:rRNA from 1 species